rnacentral:lncRNA from 1 species
GAACCUCUUAGUCCUUUUGAAGUGAAAUUAAAUAUUAUUUGAUAUCAAACAAAUUCAUAAAUACAACAAAAGAUUACAACAGGUUUUUUGUAUAUGUUCAUCCCGAGUUUUACUGAAUAAUUACAAAUUAGUGUUUAUAAAGAUAAUGUGUUGAAUUAAAGUAAGUCUAUGUAUGUUUUGAAAAUAUCAUAUAGUUUUACUGCUUUUUGUCAUGUGUUUCUUCGUCCACUUCGCUGUGGUUUUUGUAUUUCAUUCAUUUGGGACAUGAUGUUUUCUGUGUAGUAUCUGUGAAAUGGAUAGAUGUUGGUUAAGUGUUGGCUAUAAAUAAAAAGCUAUAUUUUAGUCAUACCUGGAUGUUCUAAUUGGAGGCAUUUUCCUGUUUCACAUGAUUUAGUAGGGGUGAAGGACUCCAUAUUUGUAGUGGUUUGUUGGUCCAUUGUUGUCGAAGGUGUAGUUGGUGGUCUUCUAGUUGAAUUGAUAGUUGGUUGUGGACUUUUUAUAUCAUUGGUUGUGGUGACUAUGAAACGGAUAUUUUUAGUUGAUGGAAGUUUUGUGCAUUGUACAAAAACAUUCUUUGUCAACCCUUUAAAACGUUGCAGUGGUUCCGGUAAAGUCAGUGGUCAAAAUUACACACACUGGAACAAUUCCCACAAUCAUAAUAAACAUGCAAACUUGGUGUCUCUUCUAAAAGUGAACUCUUGCAUGAACGACGGGGGACUAUCGUAUUGGAAGUAGAAGCCAUUUGUCGUCGUUUUGGAGGCAUCACAAGAAGGCAUUUACUGAAAUGGAAAUCCAAAUUUCAUUGACUUGUAACAUACUUUUUAUGUAAUUCAUAUGGAACAUUAGAUUCUAAAAAGGUGUAGUUGAAAGUAACUAUUAUGAUUAGUAACUAACUUAUGGAGUAUAUAUUAAAUAACAUUUGGAAGAGAUUAAUAACAUACUCUAUUAUUGUUUUAACCCAUGGAUUCAUUGAACAUCAAAGAUAAGAAAUAUAUUUGCAACAACAAAAUUAGUCAUUAAUCAACUGAUAAUGGUAUAUAUUCAACUAAAGCUUGUAAAUAGGAUAAAAUUGAAAAAAUGACCAUUCUAUUAAAAUUUAUGCCUAAAGGACCAUUAUUGUAAUUGAGUAUUGAUUUAGGACCAAAUUAGUAAACUUAUGUACACAAAACAUAUUCAGUGAAAGGGUUAAAGACAACUUACCAAAUUUCUAAAGAUCCAAGGUAGAAUUGAAUAUUAGAUUCCUUAUCACAAAAUGUUUAUAAUUUUUAUAUUAACAUAAAUUCAUGAGAAACCAAAGGGUGUUAAAAUGUCUAACUUGCAGAGGCAAUGAAGAAAGAGAGAAAAAUUGAAAUUGAAUAUGGACAGAAAUCAAUAUCAAAUACAAAGGAUAGACAACAUACCUAGAAAUUCAAAUUGUAAUUGAGUGUAGUCGGUUGAAGGCGGAUACAAAGCAGAACCGUUUGUUGGCGACAAAAACGUCAAACCUAGAAUGAAAACUUAAACGUAUUGAGUUGGAAAUGAAGAAAUUUAUAUGAAAAUGGAACAGAAAAUCAAUAUGAUAUAAUUGCGAUAUAGUAUAGACGAGGUAGGCGUCUAGGAGUAUGACUAAAGAAGUAUUUCAAAAAUCAGUAAUAUUUAAAGAGAAAAUUUUAAAUUGACAUACCUUAUUAAUUGGAAUUGUUGGAUUCCUAGUUGUAAGUGCUCGAAGAUAAAGACGGUGGAAACGUCAAACACAGAUUUUGUAAUCAAAGAAAGAACGAAUUAAUAUGAUGGUGUUGGGAAUUUGCACAUAUUCACAAAGAUUAGAGAAAGUUGUUAUGUAUUGAAAGCAAGAAAGAGUUCACAAUUGACAUACCUUAUGAGUCGUAAUUGUUUGAGUCCAAAUUCUAAGUGCUUGGAGAAAAAGAUGGUGGUUGAGAGGCUCUGAAACGAAGUAGGACUAAUUAAUUUUAAACUAAAACAUGAAUAAAGUUCAAAUUUAGCACUAACUUUAUGAUGAACUCAACUAAAAACAUAGAAAGAAAAAUGAUACAUUUUACAAAUUAUAAAAAUAUAAACAAAAACAAUAGAAGGAACAAACACAAAAAGACGACACAAAAAAAGAUGUAAACAAAAAAUCAAAAUCAAAUAAAAACAUUAUAUGACCUACCGAAAUUCAAAAAUACAACAAAGAGCACAUGCUGUUUGUGGUGGUAAUUGAGCACCGACGGUCAAACCCACAAAGUCGAAGACAUCGCUCAAAAACACGGAAGGAUUAGAAGGAAUAGCAAUUGAAUUGAAAAUCACAAUAUAAUUGAUACAUUAUACGACAUACCAUAAUUCGUCAUAGAAACAAAUAGAAAUUCGUAGCCUUCAACAUACCAGAAUUUGUCACAGCAAUAGAUAGAUAUUCCUAGUCUCCUUAUAUCAUUAAUGAAAAUCCUGAAAUAAGAUUUCAGAAUUCCAGUUACCAAAUAUUAGAGUAAACAUAAAAAGUUAAAGGGGUUAUUUUGUCAUUAUUAAAGUGUUUUUAACACAUUUGACUAAUAUACAAAGAAUAAGUACUCAAUUAGAAAAUUAUUCUUCAUGAUGCAAGAAAUAUUAUGUUUUUCUUUUAUUCAACUUUUGUCGCUAACAUACAACACAAUACAAAAAAAAAAUGGUUCACUAUGGGAUUUCCAGGGUAUUUGUUGACUCACCUUCUUUUAUAAUGUCAAAAUUAGCAUUCUUUAUGAUAAAUGACCAAUGAUUCCAUCUACUAUUGUAAAAGCUUUAGUCUUUUUGAUAAAUAACCAAUAAUAUAUGGGUGGUGAGUCCUAGAUUAUACAAAUUCUUAUUUAGGGUGCAUUCUUUUGAACGCUUUUGGAAGUUUCUUCAGAUAACCGUAUCAGGGUUUUUUUUUUCAGUUUAUGGUUGUUUUACAACUUACUUUAGUUGUCAUUUGACCUUUUUGCCCCUGUGAGGCUGUGGCUUACCUGGUUUUUGUUCCAAUCUUGAUUGCAGUAUACACCUGCUGUUGAUACACUUAGAUGCAAGCCAAGUUAACUACACCAGAGAUUAAGAUAAUGACUAUUUGUAUAGAAAUUUUACUUUGUGGUGAAAAGAGUCGUUUUGUAUUUUUUUUUUUGGAAAUUGGCCAUUAACUGUUACUGUGUGUGGGUGUUUCGGGCUAAGAUAUUGAUUUAUCUGUUUGUGUAUUUUAUCCCUUCUUUCAUAGUUCUUUUUGUUGAAAAGAGUCGUUUUUUUGUUUAUAUGCAAUCAUUUUUUUUCUUUAACAUAUAGUAAUAAAUACAAUUAGUUAAACACGUUAAGCAUGCCUUUAGUCGUAUUAUGUAUCCAAUUGUAUCGAAUCAAAUCAUCCUAAUAUUACAUUAAACGCUUUUGGUCUUAAAUGAGUCAGAGGAAACUUUUGUUUAUACUUGAAUGAGUGAAUUAUUUGAGACUAAAAUCUGAUGGAAUGGCGUUUUAACAUUGAAAAGAAUUUGCUCUUCUUUUCUUCACAUGAAUUGAUGAUCAACAGCAUUUGUAUGAGAGUGUUUUGAAAUGAGAGCAUAGAUUCUUGUCAUUACAAUUUGUAAAACCUCUCUUAAUCAUUACAUAAAUAAUUUGAAAUAGCUUCGAGUUAUUGACUCUUUGUUGGAUUCACAACUUUAGGGUUAGUUGGGGUGACAAAUUAUGUUCAUUCUUACGAUGUUCUGACCAGGAAAUGGACCAGGUAGUUCUAAUUCGUUCUUAUAUUUGACUUAACUUUUCUAGAAGUCAAUGCUAAUGCUUUUUUUUUCAGAAUUCGACAAGCUGGAGAACCACCUUCACCCAGGGUUGCUCAUGCAGCUGCUGUUGUUGGAACAAUGGUUGUAUUUCAGGUAACCAUAAUUAUGAACUAAAGUGAAAAAAGGAGAUCUUUUAGCCAUUUAUCUGAUUUUUGGUUUUUGAUAAACCGAUUGUGCAUGAUUAGGGCGGCAUUGGUUGAUAAAAUAAUAAAUAUUAAGAUUCUUUCUCCAUUUCGAGGAGGUGUCUCGCAUGUGUGGACUUCCCUUUAACUUUUACUUAAUUAAGUAAUUAAGCUAUAUAGACUAUUACUAAGUUGAUAACAUCUAGGUUUUGGAACAAUUAUAUAUAUAAAAGCCUUUAUCGUUCUAUUCCUCAUGUCCUUGAUCCAUGAUCUUUGUUUGUUUUCUAAACAACUAUUUCUAUAACUUAACUUUUACAAUACUGUUAAAUUGAACUAAUAAAUUAACAAAAUAGAAGGUUAUAUAAUAAUGCAACUUUUGACAUUGUUGUUGUUUUUAUAUGUAGGAUCCUAAACAUGGACACUGGUGGCUACAAUUUGGAUCAGGGGUGCUAAUAGGAUAUUGGCCAUCUUUUUUUAUUCAGUCAUCUACAAAAAGAAGCAAGUAUGAUACAAUUUGGAGGGGAGAUAGUGAACACAAGAUCAGGGGGUAUCACACAUCAACUCAAAUUGGAAGUGGCCAUUUUGCAGAUGAAGGUUUUGGAAAAGCUUCAUACUUUAGGAAUUUACAGGUUGUUGAUUGGGACAACAGUUUGCUUCCUUUAACAAAUCUCCAUGUAUUAACUGAUAAUCCAAAUUGUUACAAUAUAAAAGCCGGAAAAAAUAAUGUUUGGGCGAAUUGUAUUUAUGAUGGAGGUCCAGGAAGGAAAGGAGGUUGUCAAUAGAGAAAAUUGCAUAGUAGUAACAAUAUUUUUAUUUACAUUAUUAAUUCUUUCCCUCUAGAGGAUUUUUGGAAUUUUUUGUCUAAAAAAGAUCCCUUUUUAAGUUUUAUUUGUAGUAGGUUGCCAUAAUUAAGCCAUGUUAAUGAGGGCUCUUGUAUAUUAGCGUUAGGGGUAGUAACUGAUUUUAUAAUGUAUUAUGGUUUGUAUUUCGUAAUGUGGUGAUUUGAUUUUUCAUUAUAACAGCAAACAAUAACCUAACAACAAAAUAAAUAGCCUACCUUGACAACAUAUAUAGGUGGAACUUUUGCACUUUAUUCUUCAAUAUGCGGACAUGCUAAAGUAAGCCUUUUACCAAAUCAACAAACUGCUGAUGAAUCACUGUGUACAUAUAAAUUCAAGCAAUCUAAUGAUGGGAAAUAUUGUCUAGAGGGUUUCGUAACUUUAAUUUCACAGAGUAGGAAAGACAAUCAAAAUCAUAUGACGGAGAACAUACCAAGAAUUGAAAUUGCAAUUGAGUGUAGAUUAUUGGAGGCGGCAACAGAAGGCGUCGUCGGAGAUGUCAAACCCAUAUUUGAAAUCCUAAUUUAUUGAUAGAGAAGCCGUAGGAGAUCUCAAAUCCACACAGUCGGAAAACAGAAAAAGAAGAGGAGUCUGAAGAUUUUGGAGAAACGUAUAAAAACGAUGAUGGAGGAAUAUUCUCUAGACGAUUUCAUAACUUCAAUUUCACAGAGUCGGAAUAUAAGAAAAAAGCAAAUUCGAGAUUGAAACAAAAUCAAUAUCGAAUAGAACAAAACAUACCCAGACAUCAAAUUUCAAUUGAUUGUGGAUGGUUGGAGGCAGCAACAACCGUUUUUUGGCAAGAAAUUGAAACUUAGACAGAAAAUCAAAAUCGAAUAGAAGAAAACAUACCCAGACUUCAAAUUUCAACUGAUUGUAGAUGGUUGGAGGCAGCAACAACCGUUUUUUGGCAAGAGAAGUUGAAAUUCUAAGUUCUUGAUUGAUAAGGUGUAUGAGAUGUCAAACCCAUAAUUCAAAUUCGGAAUUGUUGAUUGAGAAGCGUAUUCAGAAUUCUUGAUUGAGAAGCGUAUGAGAUGUCAAGAAGAGAAGUCUGAAGAAAUGGUAGAAACUUAUGGAAGCGAUCAUGGGGGUAAAAUUUUAAAAGUGUUGAUUGUUAUGGAGAAUUUGGAGAAACCUAAUGUGGCGAAACUCUAAAC